UACGAAGGGAGCUAGCGUUGCUCGGAAUCACUGGGCGUAAAGCGCACGUAGGCGGAUUUUUAAGUCAGGGGUGAAAUCCUGGAGCUCAACUCCAGAACUGCCUUUGAUACUGGGAAUCUCGAGUCCGGAAGAGGUGAGUGGAACUGCGAGUGUAGAGGUGAAAUUCGUAGAUAUUCGCAAGAACACCAGUGGCGAAGGCGGCUCACUGGUCCGGUACUGACGCUGAGGUGCGAAAGCGUGGGGAGCAAACAGG
rnacentral:rRNA from 1 species